AAGCCGCCUUCGAUCAGUACGGACUUCCUUUUGUAGGUGCACGUUUCUCAGCGAUCGGGCGAUGGGACGAUUUGCCGCAACAAUUUCUUUCAACGGUAAUACGAUGGCGCACUACUGAGAAAAAGAACUAAACAGGCGCGCGAGUAAAAUUCAAAUUUAGAAGGCCCGACACACGCGGGCAAAUGCCGUUCACCUGCAUCUUUAUCCCUUGUGUCAUCACUCC
rnacentral:lncRNA from 1 species